rnacentral:rRNA from 1 species
AAUAGAUACCCAGGUAGUCCACGCCGUAAACGAUGAGUGCUAAGUGUUAGGGGGGUUUCCGCCCCUUAGUGCUGCAGCUAACGCAUUAAGCACUCCGCCUGGGGAGUACGGUCGCAAGACUGAAACUCAAAGGAAUUGACGGGGGCCCGCACAAGCGGUGGAGCAUGUGGUUUAAUUCGAAGCAACGCGAAGAACCUUACCAGGUCUUGACAUCCCAUUGACCACUAUGGAGACAUAGUUUUCCCUUCGGGGACAACGGUGACAGGUGGUGCAUGGUUGUCGUCAGCUCGUGUCGUGAGAUGUUGGGUUAAGUCCCGCAACGAGCGCAACCCUUGUUCUUAGUUGCCAUCAUUUAGUUGGGCACUCUAAGGAGACUGCCGGUGACAAACCGGAGGAAGGUGGGGAUGACGUCAAAUCAUCAUGCCCCUUAUGACCUGGGCUACACACGUGCUACAAUGGACGGUACAAACGGUUGCCAACCCGCGAGGGGGGAGCUAAUCCGGAUAAAACCGUUCUCAGUUCGGAUUGUAGGCUGCAACUCGCCUACAUGAACG